rnacentral:rRNA from 1 species
GAUGAACGCUAGCUACAGGCUUAACACAUGCAAGUCGAGGGGAAACGAUAGAGAAGGCUUGCUUUUUCUAGGCGUCGACCGGCGCACGGGUGAGUAACGCGUAUCCAACCUGCCCACCACUUGGGGAUAACCUUGCGAAAGUAAGACUAAUACCCAAUGAUAUCUCAAGAAGACAUCUGAAUGAGAUUAAAGAUUUAUCGGUGAUGGAUGGGGAUGCGUCUGAUUAGCUUGUUGGCGGGGUAACGGCCCACCAAGGCGACGAUCAGUAGGGGUUCUGAGAGGAAGGUCCCCCACAUUGGAACUGAGACACGGUCCAAACUCCUACGGGAGGCAGCAGUGAGGAAUAUUGGUCAAUGGGCGAGAGCCUGAACCAGCCAAGUAGCGUGCAGGAUGACGGCCCUAUGGGUUGUAAACUGCUUUUAUAAGGGAAUAAAGUGAGUCUCGUGAGGCUUUUUGCAUGUACCUUAUGAAUAAGGACCGGCUAAUUCCGUGCCAGCAGCCGCCGCCG